GGGGCGGGGUCACAAACACGUGAAUGCGCCCACUUCUGGCUGGUCCCAAGUGUCAGCCUCCAGGUCUCAUUGGCUACUCUGUAGAGCGGAAGGGGCGGAGUCGUCUCCGGCUGGUCUCGCACGUGGGGCUCUGGGUUGCAGAUGGGCCGAGUUCCCAGACUGAGGAUUGGCUGAGAUCUCGGGAGAGCAGAAUUGCAGCGAGGGUCCACUGGUGGUCGUGAUCGUUGUGUUCCUCUCUGUGGUUCAUGAGUGUAAGACUUCCCAGAGCUGAUUCCUGUUACAGCAUCUCAGAAAAAUACUAAUCAGCAAUAACUCUGAUGGGUGAUGAAGACAGCUUCAGGAAAGAGUAGGAGUUUACCAAGAUGAGAACAACACAGGAUUUCAGGGCAAGCCCCGGGGCCAUGCUCCCACCUCUGGUCUGACUUCAAGACUGCACUCUCCACUGAAACCCCUGGGGCCCAGUCCUGCUCAUCGUCCCCUUUCAAGGGCACUUACAGGGCCAAAGCCACCACCGGCGCCCA